AACGUAGUGAUUAUAUGCUCUUUGGUUAACGGUUCCUUCUUCAGCUUCACAGAAAGUACACAAGUUAUUUUGUAUCAAUCCCAGUCUGGCAAGGUGUGAUGGUGCAGCAUUGUGUCCGUAGCGCAACCGGUUUAUCGUGAAAAAUUUGAAACAACAUUGGAGAGUUGCCAAGAAGGAGACCCUCUCCAGUUGCCAGAGGACCGAACACAUUGACUCGGUGAGAUCAGAGAUGAGUGAAAUAAAACUAUCAGCGCAACUUCGCCCUCGACGAAAGCCAUACUGCAAAUAUGGAAUGAUACCACUAGCCACUACAAACCAAUCUAAACGGACUUUGAUCAUGUUUUCAAAUAACUUACCAAGACAAGAGGACAAGGAAAUUGGGCAAUAGGAAUUAGCCUGUUCUGGGGAUUUAUUUGGUUUCAGUAUUGGAAUGACACACUGUGAUUUCCAUGAUUCAGUAAUGAUUAAAUUAAGCCA